UCCUACUGUGUCACAGUCAUAUCUCCCUGACGAAGGUACUCAAGCUGUCUAUGCAGCUCCUCCCUCUGAGACUAAGGUAUCCACUUCUCCAGAAAGAGAGUGGAUCCUGCCAUGACAAAGGCGCUACACCUCUCGACCUACGCUGCUCAUAAGCCUCCCACCAAGUGAAAGCUGCUCCAGAAAACUAAAAAGUAGUAAAUGAUACCCCGCUCGACUCUAAGAUCCCUGCGGUCCAAAUCAUACGUCGACACUUGUCGAGAAAACCUUGGGCAUCCUCACCCGAAACACCACUGAAAGUAGGAGGUGAAAGCCUGCUGAACCUCUCAAGACGACGCUGCUCAUAUUCUGGCAUAGUUGGAGUCACAUCAUCCUGAACCGGGGCAACCAACUGAACUAGGGCAACCCGCUGAACUGGUGGUGCCUCUGGUGUCUGCAAACCUUGCACUACUUGCUCAGGCGUGCGAGUAGCGGGGGUCUGAUUGCCUCCCCCGACCUGCGAAGUAGUUGUUGCAGUAGUGGCUGAGACGGCCUGAGCCAGGCCAGUGCAAACUGAUAGGAUCUGAG
rnacentral:lncRNA from 1 species